rnacentral:lncRNA from 1 species
UGACGCCAGCAGCAUAUAGUGGUAAUCUAGUAGAACAAAAGGAUGAACCUCUAGAUGUAGUUACCAUGUGAUUUAGUUCCUUUAUCAUGAGUCUCGAUAAGAUGGAGGUCAUGAAAAACUCAUCAAAUCUCAUCGUCUGCCAUAUGUAAGAUUUAUUCGAUUUGAGUUCAUCUGUAAAACUUGAUGAAACUCUUUUUUAUCAUUC